CUUUAACGGAGAGUUUGAUCCUGGCUCAGGACGAACGCUGGCGGCGUGCCUAAUACAUGCAAGUCGAGCGGACCAAAGGGAGCUUGCUCCCAGAGGUUAGCGGCGGACGGGUGAGUAACACGUGGGCAACCUGCCCUGUAGACUGGGAUAACAUCGAGAAAUCGGUGCUAAUACCGGAUAAUCAAAGGAAUCACAUGA
rnacentral:rRNA from 1 species